rnacentral:rRNA from 1 species
UACGUAGGGUGCAAGCGUUAAUCGGAAUUACUGGGCGUAAAGCGUGCGCAGGCGGUGAUGUAAGCCAGAUGUGAAAUCCCCGGGCUCAACCUGGGAACUGCAUUUGUGACUGCAUCGCUGGAGUACGGCAGAGGGGGAUGGAAUUCCGCGUGUAGCAGUGAAAUGCGUAGAGAUGUGGAGGAACACCGAUGGCGAAGGCAGCCUCCUGGGCCAGCACUGACGCUCAUGCACGAAAGCGUGGGGAGCAAACAGG